rnacentral:rRNA from 1 species
AACGAACGCUGGCGGCAUGCCUAACACAUGCAAGUCGAACGAGAUCUUCGGGUCUAGUGGCGCACGGGUGCGUAACGCGUGGGAAUCUGCCCUUUGGUUCGGAAUAACAGUUGGAUACGACUGCUAAUACCGGAUGAUGACGAAAGUCCAAAGAUUUAUCGCCAGAGGAUGAGCCCGCGUAGGAUUAGCUAGUUGGUGUGGUAAAGGCGCACCAAGGCGACGAUCCUUAGCUGGUCUGAGAGGAUGAUCAGCCGCACUGGGACUGAGACACGGCCCAGACUCCUACGGGAGGCAGCAGUGGGGAAUAUUGGACAAUGGGCGAAAGCCUGAUCCAGCAAUGCCGCGUGAGUGAUGAAGGCCUUAGGGUUGUAAAGCUCUUUUACCCGGGAUGAUAAUGACAGUACCGGGAGAAUAAGCUCCGGCUAACUCCGUGCCAGCCGCCGCGGUAA